CCCACUGAAGACUGAACUGUCUAUCAGACUGCUGUCCACAAGUUAAAAUUACCUCCUUCGCUUGUUCUUCAGAUUUGGAAGAGAGUAUUAAAACAACAGCGAGAGGAUGAGGAGAGGAAGCUUCAACACAAGGCAAAGAAGGAUGCAAAGAAGAAACAGCAGGAGAUUCUGGAGUCGAAGUAAAUGCUCUUUCAGGCGGUAUCUUUUGGUCGGCGUGUGGCUGCCGAAGAUAUGGUCGUGGGCUCGUCGCUAUAUGCACCUUGAUCUGAAGAUAGCGAGCGCCAGACACAACUCUAUGAUGCAAAGCUGCGUGGGUGGAGAUUUUGAAAAGAAAAUGUUUGUAAUGCAAGGGAACUUAUUAUUGUAGCGACCAGACUCUGUAAUGAACAUGUUACCUUGUCGUGCACUGGUGAUUAUCUGAGAAGCAUUCCGUCUUUGAGAAAUAUGAUAACUAUCUGCCAG